GGUUUUUACAUUGCAGCCGGUCGAGUCCGUUUAGCGAGUUCGUUUGCGUUCUGUCUCAAACUCCAGGGGAGCGUGGAGGAUUCCUCAGAGGUCCCGGCCAAGCUCCGACAGUCGUUCUACAAUCCCCUCACUAACCAAUUCCUGGACUUCAACUUUUGGAUCCUUCACACAGACUACACGAACUUGGCUGUGGUGUACGCCUGUGAGAAAAUAAUGGCGGCGGACGGAACCUGUGACCCCGGGAGCAGUUAUAUGUGGACUCUGUCCAGGGGUACAUCUCACACAGCGGCAGAGAGGGAGAGGAUCCAGGAAAUUUUCCAGUCGAUGUGUCUGGAUAUGACCAGUCUAAGACAGAUCGAACACAGCGACGUGUGUCCGAUGACGUAAUGACUAAAUCAAAGAACUGGAGACGAGGAAUAGUAUUCGGAACGGGACAUCCCCGUCCCUCCUCCGUGUGUGUGUGUAUACAUGUAUGUAUAUGUAUGUGAACAUUGCGUUGUCUCAUUAAUAUACAUUGUAUUUAUUUUUUGAAAACGGAGAAAAAAAAAUGGGCAACCCUUUCUUCUGAAAAAUGCAUUGCUGCAAUUGUUAUAACUGUGGAUUGGACGUAUGGAUGUAUAUAUAAGCAUAUAAUUUAUGUAUUAUGCAUGGGGCCACUGUGACGUCUUGAAUCAAUUCAUACAAAGAAUGAAUCUAUUAACCAAUUUCCCGAUUUUUAAAGAAUUUGUUUGACAAAUUACUGAUUAUUUGCCAAAUAAAGAUUUUACACAAAUGCGAAAUU
rnacentral:misc_RNA from 1 species